AUAAUUUGGAGCGAGACACACUGUAAAGACAGUUGCAUAGAGAAAGAGAAAAGUGACAUAUAAUUUAAUGAAAUGCCUCUGCAGCAGUCUUAUUCCCUUGGACUGUGCAGGUUAUAUAACAACAUAACCUCAGCAAUAUGGUAUGCAGUUAGCACAUCAGAUGGGGACUCAAAAUUCCUGUGGAGUAGACCAAACCCAAGCUAGAAUCACAUACUUAGUGAUUCACUGGGCAACAAAUUGAAGACUUUAUAAAUCCACCAUCUGACACCUCCAGGAGAUGCUUGUGUAUACAAUGUGGAAAUCGAUACUUGCAGAAUAUCUCUGCAGGAGGAGCUAUAGCAUCUCUGUAGAAAAAGUUAUCUUUUUUUUAUGGAAAGUUUUUCUACAGCUGGAAAUGCUUCAGGGCGAUGCAAGCCAAACAGUUACUGCGUGCUGGGGACUGUUUCCAGAAAUAUGGAGUUCUGGAUAUUUAUCACACAGAGCAGCUGAAGUGAUCUUUCAGGAAGGUCUGUAAUAGACUACAGAUAAGGACAUGUCUAGAAGAAUAAACCAUCACCUUUUCAUUUAAGAGAAAGCAUUUUAAAGAAGAAUACCUUCUUUUUCCAUCUGAUGGGAAGACAAGGAAUCUUUUUUCAUCGUUUCUGUUUUACUCGAGGUACAUGCAUGAAUUCCUGUUGAAUUCAGAAUUUUGGUGGCAGUUUGGCAACCCUGCACUAGAAGUGCAGUCAUUUUGUUCUCAGAAGGAAGAAGCCCUGCAGGGAUCUGUAAAGUGUGGACUUUGAGCCAUUUGAAGGUCAGACACCUAGUCUAAGCAGAUGCAAAACGAGGCUACAAUGAAUCCCUGUGUGGGGACAACCACUUCUUUUCACAACAGGCCAAUGCCAAGUACAUGUCCCAUGCAAGAAAUCAGGCAUGUCAAGACGUGAUGGAUUAGGUCUCUAGGGUUCUAUUGAGAAGGUCAAGGUCUGGACAGUAUGACACAAUCUAUGUAAUUCUGGGAGUUGAAAAGGUGGAAGAACAUGAUAGCUAGUGCUUUUAUGAGGAUAAAAUUCUCUAACACCUAAGCAAAGUAAUUAUGUCUAUUAUCAUAAUUUAUUUUUUCCAUUUUUACGUACCUGGUUGGUAAAUGAAGUGGUUCUUGCUAUGUGUAAUACUGACACUUUGAGGAAAUGCAUAUAUUCUUUAAGUAAUAUGCCCCUUGAUCUUGUGAAUUCUUGAACUAUGAACACAAGUGGAAAUCUAAAAUGAAAGUAAUGGGUGAUUAUUUUCCUGUGACUAUCUAUGAUUAUUUCAUUAAUGUUCUUUUCUGUCCUAAUCAAAUCUGAAUCCAGUAUUUUAACCAUUUUUAGUAUUUUUCUGAAAUUUUUAUCAUACCCUUAUCCUGGGCACACUCUCCAUCACACACAUUCCCCUGAGUUUGAGAGCAAUCAAUACAGCUGGCCAGGCUCUGUUGAAAGUACCCCAUGAAUUAUACUGGGGAGGAUCACCUGGGAGCCUGUGGUCAUUGGCGGGAGAGACCUGGGCAGGGAAAUUGCCUUGCCCUCAUCUUCAUCACGCUGUUGCAAAAUUAAUUCUACUGAGUUGUCAUUUUGCUUCCUCCCAUCCCCUCAUCAUCCCACAACUGGCUUCUCUUUUUAUGUCACAUCAAAUGGGAAGCACUUGACUUCACCUUGAAGGCCCUUCAAAGCUGCACCUUCCCUACAGAUCAUCUAUAAUUCACAGAAAGUGUCAUCUCUCAGCCCUUACAGGUCACUGAUGCCAGCUUCAGUGUUCGCUUGUUAACAUUUCAAAGGAGUACUUUCAUGUCUUCUCACAUGCUGCCUCCGAGGAGCUAGCUGCAAACCUCCAUGAAGCUGCUUCAUUAUCCUCCAUCAGACGCUGCUGAAAGCUCUUCCUGGCCGGGGUGCCUGUGACAGCCUCCAGACAAGGAGGUUGCUGCCAUGCUGUGCCUGCUGGCAGCUGUGCUGCCCACCCUGUGCCUCAUCACUCCCAUCUCCUCCCUACCUGGUUGUCUCUUCUCUCAAGUUGUCAGGUUUUUUUUUCCUUUGUUCCCCCUGACUGAGAUCCUGAUCUAUGACUCCUGAGCGCUGUGGUAACUGGCAAGAACAGAAAUGUGACUGGAGUUCAGUUAUUUAUGACUUUAUGACAGAAAGAUUUGGUUCAUUAUGAAAUUUAUCAAACAUAUGCUUUGUUUAGUAAGAUGUGUUUCUGUCCCAUUUGCUUUAAAUUAAGAGAGUGGAUGUUUG
ensembl:lncRNA